UACGUAGGGACCGAGCGUUGUCCGGAAUCAUUGGGCGUAAAGAGCGUGUAGGCGGCCACUUAAGUCCUGCGUGAAAUCCUGCGGCUCAACCGCAGGCGGUCGUGGGAAACUGGGUGGCUAGAGUGCGGGAGAGGAGAGUGGAAUUCCUGGUGUAGCGGUGGAAUGCGCAGAUAUCUGGAGGAACACCGGUGGCGAAGGCGGCAUCCUGGACCAACACUGACGCUGAGUGAGCGAAAGCCAGGGGAGCAAACGGG
rnacentral:rRNA from 1 species